AAAGGGUGCGUAGGCGGUUUUCUAAGUCACGUGUGAAAUCUUCUGGCUCAACCAGAAAACUGCGCGUGAAACUAGUCAACUUGAGUGAGGUAGGGGUGUGUGGAACUUCCGGUGGAGCGGUGAAAUGUGUAGAGAUCGGAAGGAACGCCAGCAGCGAAAGCGGCACACUGGGCCUUUUCUGACGCUGAGGCACGAAAGCUAGGGGAGUGAACGGGAUUAGAUACCCGGGU
rnacentral:rRNA from 1 species